GAUGAAGAACGCAGCGAAAUGCGAUAAUUAAUGUGAAUUGCAGAAUUCAGUGAAUCAUCGAGUCUUUGAACGCACAUUGCGCCCGCUGGUAUUCCGGCGGGCAUGCCUGUUCGAGCGUCAUUUCAACCCUCAAGCCCCCGGGUUUGGUGUUGGGGAUCGGCUCUGCCCUUCUGGGCGGUGCCGCCCCCGAAAUACAUUGGCGGUCUCGCUGCAGCCUCCAUUGCGUAGUAGCUAACACCUCGCAACUGGAACGCGGCGCGGCCAUGCCGUAAAACCCCAACUUCUGAAUGUUGACCUCGGAUCAGGUAGGAAUACCCGCUGAACUUAAGCAUAUCAAUAAGCGGAGGA
rnacentral:misc_RNA from 1 species